GGGGUUUGAGGGUGGAAGAAUGAGUGAAAUGUGAUCAGUGAUUGGAAGGAAAAAGAAAGACCAUAGCCACGUGGAUUUAAUGAUUUUAAAACAUGAAAAAAAAUUACAACUCAGUUCAAAGUUAACGCUGUCUCAAUACAUUUAACGGUUGGGGUAAAACGUUGUAAAAUGUUUGCAUUUCAUAAGGACUUGAGGAAAAAGUGUGAUAGGUGAUUGGAAGGAAAAAGAAAGACCAUAGCCACAUGGAUUUAAUGAUUUUAAAACAUAAAAAAAAAA
rnacentral:lncRNA from 1 species